rnacentral:rRNA from 1 species
AUUGAACGCUGGCGGCAUGCCUUACACAUGCAAGUCGAACGGCAGCACGGGAGCAAUCCUGGUGGCGAGUGGCGAACGGGUGAGUAAAGUAUCGGAACGUGCCCAGUCGUGGGGGAUGACGUAGCGAAAGUUACGCUAAUACCGCAUACGAUCUAUGGAUGAAAGCGGGGGAUCGCAAGACCUCGCGCGAUUGGAGCGGCCGAUAUCAGAUUAGGUAGUUGGUGGGGUAAAGGCUCACCAAGCCGACGAUCUGUAGCUGGUCUGAGAGGACGACCAGCCACACUGGGACUGAGACACGGCCCAGACUCCUACGGGAGGCAGCAGUGGGGAAUUUUGGACAUGGGCGAAAGCCUGAUCCAGCCAUGCCGCGUGCAGGAUGAAGGCCUUCGGGUUGUAAACUGCUUUUGUACGGAACGAAAAGGUUUGGCCUAAUAAGCUGAGCUCAUGACGGUACCGUAAGAAUAAGCACCGGCUAACUACGUGCCAGCCGCCGCGGUAA